CCCCCCGUAGCUCAGCGGAAGAGCGUGUGGUUUCUACCCACUUGGUCGGGGGUUCGAAUCCCUCCGGGGGGA
rnacentral:tRNA from 1 species